rnacentral:rRNA from 1 species
UACGUAGGGUGCAAGCGUUGUCCGGAAUUAUUGGGCGUAAAGAGCUCGUAGGCGGUUUGUCGCGUCGAAUGUGAAAACCCGGGGCUCAACCCCGGGCCUGCAUUCGAUACGGGCAGACUAGAGUUCGGUAGGGGAGUCUGGAAUUCCUGGUGUAGCGGUGAAAUGCGCAGAUAUCAGGAGGAACACCAGAAGCGAAGGCGGCUCACUGGCCCAAUACUGACGCUGAGGCGCGAAAGCGUGGGGAGCAAACAGG